GAGCACGCGGGCUGCCCGUCCAGCGCGGCCUCCCAGGCAGAGACACAGGGAGGCGCUCGCUGCACGGAGCUGGCGCACUUGCAUGUCAGACUGGCAUAAGAUGUCGUCAAUAUAGUCUGCAGGAAGCUGUCUGAGCCGAGAUCCUCCUGUUCUGCACUACAGCAUCAACUCGCAGUCGCAGACGCGAAACCGUGCGGAUGCGUUAGGGGGCAGCAGGAGACACUUUUCGUUCACAUGACUCGGCUUAUUUUUUAUUCUUACGCCUUUCUGGGAAGAGAUUUGCUGGAUCACCUUUAUCACUCGUACCACGUUUCUUCAACGCAGUGCCUGAAUAUGAUAGUUCUUUAGAACUCUCAGGAGAAACUUCCGUAGGUGGGGCUGCAGAAACCCGCGUUACCGGUGCCCACAUACGAGCGACGUUCAUGGUGUGCAUCACAUGGACACCAGUCGUGGUGAUAUGAAACAAGCCGUGGUGGACCUCGUCAGCUCAGAAAUCGCAACUAGAGUUUUGUGGCCACCAUAGAAGACGACAUGAGGGGUGGACAACUCGGCCUCUUCUGCCUGGUCUGCCUGCUGAUCCUGCUCAUCGUGCUCCUCCGCUUCUCUAAAAGGCUCAGACAACAAC